rnacentral:lncRNA from 1 species
GAAUGUAUAUUCGGAUUUUUAUUAUUAAAUAAUAAAAUGGAAAAAAUUAAUGAAGUUUUGUUGGACUCUGUAACAACUAAGUUGAAAAAAGUAAACAAGAAAUAAUAAGGCAGAAUUUACACUAUUUCUUAUUGGAAACAAGAUGAAACUGAUAUUGAACUGUCAAAAGAUUAAAAAUUCUAGCUAGUUGCUGUUGUUAUAUCAGGGAAGUUAAAAUUUUUGUAAUUGGAAUAUGAAAUUAAUGUAAAAAUGUUCACAGUAUAGCAAGUUUUGUAACCAGCAAAAUAACUGCCACAAUUUUUGUGGCUUGCAAAUUGAUAGUUGGCUCUGGCUUACCUUUACGUGGUGUCUAAUGUUAAAAAUUAUUCAUUUUGUUUCGUUAAUGUAAUUUAAAAAUUAAAAUAUUUACUAGAAGCCCAGACAAGAAAUAAUUACAUUUUUUAUUUCAAAAAACUUUUUUUUGUGUGUGUUUUUUUCUCAGGUUGGAGUGAUUAAUCUGUUCCUUUACAUGAUAAUGUAUGCUCAGAUGCAUCUUGUAAUGUGCAAUUGCAAGUUUCCAAAUACAUGCAAAGUAAAACUGUUGGCGACAUGGCACAUGUAUUUAAGUCUUCUGUCACAGUUGACUCAGCAAGAAUGAAGACAUUGAUACACUUUUGCAUUAUGGAAUACACAAGUAGGCAGUUCCUCGCCCACUGGACCUAAAAAGAGGUAUAAGAAAUCCUUAUCUGUACGUAACAAACGAUCGAGACGAAGUGAUUAUUAUGUGCGGCAAAAGAUUAUUUCAUGAAGUUUUUCAUUUUCGUGAUGGAACUUAUUGGAGUACACUUUUUUUAGACAUAGGAGGAGUAUUGCCGCUGCAAGCAUGAACAAUAAUAAAACAUUCCAAAGAAAAAUUUGUUAUUUCAACGAUUAGAAUUGUUGUUUAAAUGUA